AUUGAACGCUGGCGGCAUGCUCUACGCAUGCAAGUCGAACGGUAACAGGCCGCAAGGUGCUGACGAGUGGCGAACGGGUGAGUAAUGCAUCGGAACGUGCCCAGUCGUGGGGGAUAACUACUCGAAAGAGUAGCUAAUACCGCAUACGAUCUAUGGAUGAAAGCGGGGGACCGUAAGGCCUCGCGCGAUUGGAGCGGCCGAUGUCAGAUUAGGUAGUUGGUGGGGUAAAGGCUCACCAAGCCAACGAUCUGUAGCUGGUCUGAGAGGACGACCAGCCACACUGGGACUGAGACACGGCCCAGACUCCUACGGGAGGCAGCAGUGGGGAAUUUUGGACAAGGGGCGCAAGCCUGAUCCAGAAAUGCCGCGUGCAGGAAGAAGGCCUUCGGGUUGUAAACUGCUUUUGUACGGAACGAAACGGCUCUGGUUAAUACCCGGGGCUAAUGACGGUACCGUAAGAAUAAGCACCGGCUAACUACGUG
rnacentral:rRNA from 1 species